rnacentral:tRNA from 1 species
GCCCUCGUGGCUUAGCGGUAUAGCGGUUGCCUCGUAAGCAACAGGUCCGGGGUUCAAUUCCCCGCGAGGGCU